rnacentral:misc_RNA from 1 species
UGAAGACAGUGAUCAUUCAAAGAAAUGUCCACAAGCAUCAAACGGGGAGGGGCGAUGUUAAGCCUGCUACUUACUACCUAACAUGUUCGAGAAGAAUUUGCGGUAAUUGGACAAUUAUGUAGAAGGCUUGUUAUCUUAGAAUAGGUGAAGGCCAAAGAAAAUCUAUGUUUGAGCCUUUUGAUGCUUUUCAUUCCACAGAUUUAACAAAAAAAAAAAAGCAGCUGUACUGGCUGCUUGUUUAUCAUCUAGUAAUUGUAAGUUAAUGCGACAGUUCGAAGGUUAGCCUGUUAAAUAUUUAGACACGACAACCCCUUUUUUACUGUUCAUGUUAUCCGAGGAUGUGCCUCAGGUUUUGUGAUCCAAUGUUUAGAUUCAUUUGCCAAUCUUUAAAAAAAGGAAAGAAGAAAAAGUGUUUGGCCG